AUUGAACGCUGGCGGCAUGCUUUACACAUGCAAGUCGAACGGCAGCGCGGGGCAACCUGGCGGCGAGUGGCGAACGGGUGAGUAAUAUAUCGGAACGUACCCAAGAGUGGGGGAUAACGUAGCGAAAGUUACGCUAAUACCGCAUACGAUCUAAGGAUGAAAGCAGGGGACCGCAAGGCCUUGUGCUCCUGGAGCGGCCGAUAUCUGAUUAGCUAGUUGGUGAGGUAAAGGCUCACCAAGGCGACGAUCAGUAGCUGGUCUGAGAGGACGACCAGCCACACUGGAACUGAGACACGGUCCAGACUCCUACGGGAGGCAGCAGUGGGGAAUUUUGGACAAUGGGCGCAAGCCUGAUCCAGCAAUGCCGCGUGAGUGAAGAAGGCCUUCGGUUGUAAG
rnacentral:rRNA from 1 species